AUUGAACGCUGGCGGCAUGCCUAACACAUGCAAGUCGAACGGCAGCACGGACAGCGUUCUCCCCUCGAGUUGGCGACGGGCGGGUGAGUCAUCCGUACGUACCCUGCUGUUGGGGCUAGGUAGACUAAGGAUAACCUAAUACCGUAUACGACCAUAGGGUGAACGGGGGGGACCACAAGGCCUCACGCGGUUUGACGGGCCGAUGACUGAUUAGCUAGUUGGUUGGGUAAAGGCGUACCAAGGCGACGAUCCGUAGCUGCCCUGAGAGGCUGAUCAGCCACACUGGAACUGAGACACGGUCCAGACUCCUACGGGAGGCAGCAGUGGGGAAUCUUGGGCAAUGGGCGAAAGCCUGAUCCAGCAAUGCCGCGUGAGUGAAGAAGGCCUUCGGGUUGUAAAGCACUUUUGUUAGGAAAGAAAAAGUGUGGGUUAAUCUCUGGCCGUCUUGACGGUACCUAAAGAAUAAGCACCGGCUAACUACGUG
rnacentral:rRNA from 1 species